rnacentral:rRNA from 1 species
GACGAGCGCUGGCGGCGUGCUUAACACAUGCAAGUCGAACGGAAAGGCCCUGCUUUUGUGGGGUGCUCGAGUGGCGAACGGGUGAGUAACACGUGAGUAACCUGCCCUUGACUUUGGGAUAACUUCAGGAAACUGGGGCUAAUACCGGAUAGGAGCUCCUGCUGCAUGGUGGGGGUUGGAAAGUUUCGGCGGUUGGGGAUGGACUCGCGGCUUAUCAGCUUGUUGGUGGGGUAGUGGCUUACCAAGGCUUUGACGGGUAGCCGGCCUGAGAGGGUGACCGGCCACAUUGGGACUGAGAUACGGCCCAGACUCCUACGGGGGGCAGCAGUGGGGAAUAUUGCACAAUGGGCGGAAGCCUGAUGCAGCAACGCCGCGUGCGGGAUGACGGCCUUCGGGUUGUAAACCGCUUUCGCCUGUGACGAAGCGUGAGUGACGGUAAUGGGUAAAGAAGCACCGGCUAACUACGUG